GGGCAUGUGGUGUAGUUGGUUAUCACGCUCGCUUAGCAUGGGUCUUUGCGCAAGACAUGUGUGCGAGAGGGGUCCGGUUCAAUCCCGGACAUGUCCA